CUGUUUGGGGGAGCUGUUGGCAGUAGAACUGUUGGAAGUAGAGCUGUUGGAAGUAGAGCUGUCUGAAGUAGAGCUGUUAUAAAAAGCUGUUUGUUGUUUGGUAACUAUAUUUUUAAAGUGCUGUGGCACUUUAACAUAUGUUUGGUAAACAAACUGAGAAAGUACUUUUAUAUGACAAAAUUACCAUAAAGGACAUUGCAUAGUAUUAUACAAUAGAGCAUGAUAAAACAUAACAUAUAUUAAUACAUAAUAUACGAUAUAGUAUAAUAUUACUGUAAUAUAAAAUAUUAUUAUUAUAAUAUAGUAAUAUGAUAUUGCAUAGCAUAGCAUAAUGGCAAUAUAAUUAUUAGUAUUAAUUA
rnacentral:lncRNA from 1 species